UUUCCGUAGGUGAACCUGCGGAAGGAUCAUUGUCGAAACCUGCCCAGCAGAACGACCCGCGAACUUGUAUAAACAACCGGGGGCGGGGGGCGUUCUCGCCCCGUGCCCCCGAACGGCGGGGAGACACUCGUGCCUUCCUGCCGAACAACGAACCCCGGCGCGGUCUGCGCCAAGGAACUUCAACUAAAGAGUGCCUCCGGUCGCCUCGGAAACGGCGUGCGUGCCGGGGGCGAAUCUUGUGCAAAACCAUAACGACUCUCGGCAACGGAUAUCUCGGCUCUC
rnacentral:misc_RNA from 1 species